rnacentral:lncRNA from 1 species
UUGCCUUGACAGCUCUACAGUAAGCAGUCUUUGCCCUAACUGAAAUUAGAAAUGCAGUUGUCUCUUGACUUCAACCCCGAUGAAGCUGCAAACUGGAGCGCUGCCAACUGAACUGCCCGACCCCACUGAUGAGGAGGAUCCGUAGAGCAGUGGGCGGUGGGGGAUUAUGCAGAAGCUUCCUUCUCUUCAGCUGGAGUCCUGAAGCAUUACAGAAUAGUGAGCCAAGCCUUUCAGUUUUGUUCUCAGGGGAGCUGCGUGUGGGUGGCUCAUGUGAAAAGGUCUUGUAAUAACCUCUAUGUGGGCCUUACUGGGAGCCACUCUCUGAGUCUCUUUGUGUCUAGGGCAUUGCUGGCCUAUGACUCACAAGAGGUCUCAGCCCACAGGCCAAACAUCCCCAAGGCCUUGUACUCCCUCUUAGGCAAGCACUUUGGGUUAGAUGAGCCGUUGAGGAUGCUUGCUUACUAAGUACCUGGGGUACAGGGACUCAUGCUUUUGAGGUUUCUCUUAAAGGUUGCUACUGGCUAUAUUGUCCCAAGCUUUCUAGAGCUUAUAUGAGCUAGUUAGUAUCUUUACAAAAAAAUAUCAUUUUUUUCUUAAAUUGGACAGAGCUUGUCUCAUCGUGAUAUGAAGAAACAAGUCAGGAGGAAGACCAAGAGGAGAGCCCAAUGCUCAGAGGCACACAGAGAAGGAAUACAGAUUGUGAUUGUUGUCUAGAGUAAUUUUGAAAUGGAGCCAGAACCAGGGUGACAGCAGGAAGCAGGGCAAGUGUUUCUAGUGGCACCAUUGAGCCUCAAGUCUACUCUGCUGCUGAAGCUGAAAUUGCCUGAGGUGGACAUCCUCUAUUUUUUGGUUGCCCAAAUAAAAAAUCUGGAUUGCAUCAAUUUCCCUUCUUCGUCUUCCUGGCCUCUUAUCAGAAGCAAUCUCUGUAAAUUGCUUACUACAUAUCUUCAAUGAUACCCUCUCUCCCAUUUCAAUGUAAGUACAGUCCCUAGCUGCUCACACUUAGUUCUUGACACUGCACAGCCCAUCUCCACUUUGCUACUAGAGUAAGAAUCUAUGUGUGCUAUAAUUCAUUUUCUCAAAAUUUAUUAUUAUCCCUGUCACUUACAAGGUGAGAUGGAAAAACGUUUAUACCCGUGAACCUGCUGGUGUGGUCCUGUUUCCCUCUUUAGCCUCAUAUCCCCAUUUCUUUUACUCUCUCCUUACUCCAGGGCCCAGAUAAAUCAUUUACUACACAUGUAAUAUUACUCUUUACCUGGUCAUGCAGUUUGUUCCUUUUCCUUUGAAAAAAUCAAUGCAUGAAGCUCAUAUUUUAUUUAUUUAUAUUUUUUAAAGCGUGAAAUUUUCACUUGUGUGUUUGUGUACACAUGAGUGUGUGUGCCACAAUGCUCUUGUAUGCCCCAGUGCUCCUGUGGAGGUCACUGGACAACUUUGUGGAAUUGAUGAUCAACUGCCCUCUUUUUUUUUUUUUUUUUUUUUUUUUUGAGGCACUCAGGUGCCAAGCUUGCAUUGAAACAUUUUUUGGCCAUUGAGUCAUCUUGUCGACCCAAAGUUCACGUUUAAACCUCUCUGUCUCUUGCUCUCUUUCUCUCUCUUAAAUAAUGUUCUGUAACUUCUCUGGCAUUUCUUUCUCAAAGCUGCUGUUUGUCCUUUGUGUGGUUUUGGCCUUUAUCAUGUGGUAUUAAAAUUGUUUCCCAUUCAUUCAGUCAGCCCACACUUCUUGAAGACUUUGUGUGUGUGAAGAGGCUCUGGCUGCAUAGAAAUGAAUAUUUUAUACUUGUUGGCCUCAGUCUGGAGUUAGGUAGAGACAGGCAUUUAAGUUAAUAAUUAUGAAAGCAGUCUGCAUACUAGUUGGAUAUUGCCAUUGAGUAUCUGAUCAGUAGAGAGAAGUGAGGAACAGUUUUAUAGAGAGUUGGGGUCAUGUCAGGUACAAAACUUGUCACCCUGUGUAAAUUAUCUUCCAGUUUGUUCCCCAUCAGCAGUAUUUACUGAACACAUAUUGAUGUUGUUAUCUGUAAGUGAAAUAGUGACCUAAACAGAAUCAUUACCUUCAUGCUGUUCAUAGUAAGGCUGGGUGGAGAUAGAUCAGGCAAGCACUGACCAUAACUGGUAAGCUACAAGCAAUUCACACAGAGGAGGGGAGCCAACCCCAGCUGUGGAGUGCGGACACAGCAGAAGAUUCCAGAAAGAAAUGACAUCUAAGGUCAACCAAAAGGACUAGGAGUUAGGCAGGUGAAGGCAUUUGUGUGUGUGUGUGUGUGUACAGUAUUUUCCAGUCUGGAAGUGGAAAAACAACAUGAUAGAAUCAGGCACUUUAGAGGCAAUAGAUUAUGCAUACCCAAAUACAUAUAAUUUUUAAUAUAUCCUUGACUUUUAAGGUCAAGAGUUCAUUUUGUUGAUUAGAAUUUUACAUAACUUAAAAUCCAGUGCCCCUCCUCUCUCUCUUACCCCUCCUUCUCCUCUUCUUUCUCCUCCUCUUCCCAUUCCUCCCUCCAGCCCCUCCUUUUUCGCCCCUCUCAGCAACAGACAUGAAGUGUAUACCAUCUUUCCUAGGAAGUUCUCCAUGAGUUUUCCUUUUGAUAACGUGGAAAUCAAGGGCCUGCCUGAAUCUUCCAGCUACACAUCUUCUCUACCACUCCAGAGUAGAUGAACUUGACCCACAGGCUUGGUUAUGAGCCUCUUAUCCAUGAAUUUUACAUGUAGUGUCGAGCUACCUCCAUGGACAAAAAGUGAAAUCUAGACCAUGGUGAGCAGCAUAGGACUGGAGACCUUUGGGAGAAGGAGCAUUAGAUGGAGGUGCUCAGGAAGCUUCCAUGAGGACCGUGUACCACUCUCCUACUAUCUUUAUGAAUCCUGGUUUCAUUCAGUCAAACAUUCAGAGACAGAUCAGAAACUGUGGCUGGGAUACUGACAGAGACUGGAUUUCGAGGGGCUCUGGUAAUUACUUGAAUUUCAGAAGGAAAUGUAAAACAAAGUAGGAAAAGUUAAUAGAGCCCACCCUGGAGCUUAACCAGUGGGCAUGGAUAGAGCAAGGGGCAAAGGAGGACCAGGCCAUUAAAAGCUCUGAACUAUUUA